CCUACGGGAGGCAGCAGUAGGGAAUUUUCGUCAAUGGGCGCAAGCCUGAACGAGCAAUGCCGCGUGAACGAGGAAGGUCUUCGGAUCGUAAAGUUUUGUUGAUGGGGAAAUAGAGCGGAGAGAGGAAAUGGUCUCCGAUUGAUAUUACCCUUCGAGGAAGUCACGGCUAACUACGGGCCAGCAGCCGCGGCAAUACGUAGGUGGCGAGCGUUAUCCGGUAUGGUUGGGCGUAAAGGGUGCGUAGGCGGCCUGCUAAGUCUGGAGUGAAAGGGACCGGCUCAACCGGUACAGGGUCUGGAAACUGGCGGGCUAGGAGGCAAGAGAGGGCAGUGGAACUCCAUGUGUAACGGGAAAAUGCGU
rnacentral:rRNA from 1 species